ACAAUAACAAAGAUAUAUAGCUGACAAGAGGUCAUCAUCCUGUCAUGUCUACAGAUGGUUCUGCUGCUGCCAACACAAAUACAUCACCCAGAGCCCACCCACACAACAGACACAGUCACAGCCUUUAUUAAAUAAAAACUCACAAUUUACACUGAGUAUCCUGACCAGGGCUAAAAAAGAGAGAGCUCAAAUAAAUAAACAAUCAAUCCAGGAUCCAGAAACACACUGCACAGCUGCAUCAACCUGCCUCGAGGACACAGACAGAGUGAAAGAAACCACGUGACGUCAGCUGACCUGCUCCAGCAGGAUUCUUUUUUACAAACAAGAAAAACUUUAAUCAGUUAAACAAAAACGAACACUGCAGGUCAGCAGAUAACGGCUCUGUGCUGCCCGGAGGGCUGUUAACGGCAGCUAAACCUGACGAAGCAGGCACAGGAGGAAAGGGGCAGCGGUGUUGCCCAGCAACGAGUUGUAAUGGUGACGUAAUCCCUGCCCAGUGCGUCCGCCGACAGUCAGAGCCCUGUGAGUGGCUAGGAUUAGCAGAGGGAAGCGUCUUCAAUGACGUCUUGAGCUUGGGGUUGCCUGGCAACGGGACUUUCAUUCCCGCGAUAGACUCCCCGCUCGACUAAGCAGGCUGACGUCACCACUCCGCGACCUGGAUGCCGCACAGUUGGUCACGCUGUAGCCGCUGACGCCUGGACAGGUGAGUAUGAUUCCAUUAAUGAGUGCUUGUUUGGGAGGGUAUAAAUAUGUUUCCUUGUAUGUUAUCACUUGUGUAUGAUCUGUCCCUGAAGACGGGGGUUAGUCCCCAAAACGGCGUAGGACGUCAAUAAAGAUUUAUCACUUGUU